rnacentral:rRNA from 1 species
UGGGGAAUAUUGCACAAUGGGCGCAAGCCUGAUGCAGCCAUGCCGCGUGUAUGAAGAAGGCCUUCGGGUUGUAAAGUACUUUCAGCGGGGAGGAAGGGAGUAAAGUUAAUACCUUUGCUCAUUGACGUUACCCGCAGAAGAAGCACCGGCUAACUCCGUGCCAGCAGCCGCGUUAAUACGGAGGGUGCAAGCGUUAAUCGGAAUUACUGGGCGUAAAGCGCACGCAGGCGGUUUGUUAAGUCAGAUGUGAAAUCCCCGGGCUCAACCUGGGAACUGCAUCUGAUACUGGCAAGCUUGAGUCUCGUAGAGGGGGGUAGAAUUCCAGGUGGAGCGGUGAAAUGCGUAGAGAUCUGGAGGAAUACCGGUGGCGAAGGCGGCCCCCUGGACGAAGACUGACGCUCAGGUGCGAAAGCGUGGGGAGCAAACAGG